rnacentral:rRNA from 1 species
GACGAACGCUGGCGGCGUGCUUAACACAUGCAAGUCGAACGCUGAGGCCCUUUCGGGGGUGGAUGAGUGGCGAACGGGUGAGUAACACGUGGGUAAUCUGCCCUGCACUCUGGGAUAAGCCUUGGAAACGGGGUCUAAUACCGGAUAGGACACAUCGCCGCAUGGUGUGUGUGUGGAAAGUUCCGGCGGUGCAGGUUGAGCCCGCGGCCUAUCAGCUUGUUGGUGGGGUGAUGGCCUACCAAGGCGACGACGGGUAGCCGGCCUGAGAGGGUGACCGGCCACACUGGGACUGAGACACGGCCCAGACUCCUACGGGAGGCAGCAGUGGGGGAUGUUGCGCAAUGGGCGAAAGCCUGACGCAGCAACGCCGCGUGGGGGAUGACGGCCUUCGGGUUGUAAACCUCUUUCGACCGGGACGAAGGGUGACUGACGGUACCGGUAGAAGAAGCACCGGCUAACUACGUGCCAGCAGCCGCAGUAA